rnacentral:tRNA from 1 species
GGGAAUGGCUCAGUGGUAGAGCAUGUGCUUAGCAUGCACGAGGUCCUGGAUUCAAUCCCCAGCAUCUCCA